AUGAACUCCAGCUUGCUGGGGGGAUUAGUGGCGAACGGGUGAGUAACACGUGAGUAACCUGCCCUGGACUCUGGGAUAACCCCGAGAAAUCGGAGCUAAUACCGGAUAGGACCUUUCCCUGCAUGGGGUUUGGUGGAAAGUCUUUCGGUUUGGGAUGGACUCGCGGCCUAUCAGCUUGUUGGUGAGGUAAUGGCUCACCAAGGCGUCGACGGGUAGCCGGCCUGAGAGGGUGACCGGCCACACUGGGACUGAGACACGGCCCAGACUCCUACGGGAGGCAGCAGUGGGGAAUAUUGCACAAUGGGCGCAAGCCUGAUGCAGCAACGCCGCGUGCGGGAUGACGGCCUUCGGGUUGUAAACCGCUUUUAGUAAGGAAGAAGGGGAGCUUGCUCCUUGACGGUACUUGCAGAAAAAGGACCGGCUAACUACGUGCCAGCAGCCGCGGUAAUACGUAGGGUCCGAGCGUUGUCCGGAAUUAUUGGGCGUAAAGAGCUCGUAGGCGGUUUGUCGCGUCUGCUGUGAAAUCCCGAGGCUCAACCUCGGGCCUGCAGUGGGUACGGGCAGACUUGAGUGGUGUAGGGGAGACUGGAAUUCCUGGUGUAGCGGUGGAAUGCGCAGAUAUCAGGAGGAACACCGAUGGCGAAGGCAGGUCUCUGGGCACUUACUGACGCUGAGGAGCGAAAGCGUGGGGAGCGA
rnacentral:rRNA from 1 species